rnacentral:rRNA from 1 species
GAUGAACGCUGGCGGCGUCCCUAAUACAUGCAAGUCGAGCGAACGGACGAGAAGCUUGCUUCUCUGAUGUUAGCGGCGGACGGGUGAGUAACACGUGGAUAACCUACCUAUAAGACUGGGAUAACUUCGGGAAACCGUAGCUAAUACCGGAUAAUAUUUUGAACCGCAUGGUUCAAAAGUGAAAGACGGUCUUGCUGUCACUUAUAGAUGGAUCCGCGCUGCAUUAGCUAGUUGGUAAGGUAACGGCUUACCAAGGCAACGAUGCAUAGCCGACCUGAGAGGGUGAUCGGCCACACUGGAACUGAGACACGGUCCAGACUCCUACGGGAGGCAGCAGUAGGGAAUCUUCCGCAAUGGGCGAAAGCCUGACGGAGCAACGCCGCGUGAGUGAUGAAGGUCUUCGGAUCGUAAAACUCUGUUAUUAGGGAAGAACAUAUGUGUAAGUAACUGUGCACAUCUUGACGGUACCUAAUCAGAAAGCCACGGCUAACUACGUG